rnacentral:lncRNA from 1 species
AAUUGGGGAUAGCAGGAGCUGAUGGAAAGAAGAUCGGGAUUGUUAGCAUUUCUCUAUCCGUCUAGCACGCCAGACAGGGCCAGUCUCUCCGGCUGGGGGCACUGCGUGGGCAACAGCGACCGUGAGGGCGCGCGUCUGCGCUGGGGCCUCGCGCGCGUUCCACGAUGAAGACUGCGCGUUUGAGUGUCCCUGGCAACGCCACGCUUCCGCCUUCUGGAAGCCUGCACUCCAGCUUCGAGUGGAACGAUGCCUCUGGAGGUGGUGGUGGAGCUGCAGAUCCGGGCGAUUUCUUGCCCAGGAGUGUUCCUGCCUGGCAAACAAGAUGUGUACCUCGGGGUCUACCUCAUGAAUCAGUACCUGGAGACCAACAGCUUUCCCUCUGCGUUCCCCAUUAUGAUUCAGGAGAGCAUGAGAUUUGAAAAGUGUGGGAUGAGUUGGCCUACUACGAAGAAAACACACGAGAUUUUCUUUUCCCAGAGCCCAAGCUGACACCUUCGCACCCUAGGAGGUGUAGGGAGGUGCUCAUGAAGACGGCUCUGGGUUUUCCAGAAGAAAGACAUGAGUCACGGAGGCCUUUAUCUACAUCACA